rnacentral:rRNA from 1 species
CUGACGGAGCAUGCCGCGUGGAGGAUGAAAGCCUGUGGGUCGUAAACUCCUUUUCUCAGAGAAGAAAUUUGGACGGUACCCAAAGAAUAAACCUCCGCUAACUCCCUGCCCACCACCCCCGUAAUACCGAAGAAGCCAGCGUUUUCCCGAAUUGAUUGGGCGUAAAGCGUCUGUAGGUGGUUUCAUAAUUCCACUGUUAAAGAAUCAGGCUUAACCCCUGGAAGGCCGUGGAAACCUAUGAAGCUUGAUUACGGUAGGGGCAGAGGGAAUUCCCGGUGUAGCGGUGAAAUGCGUAAAGAUCGGGAAGAACACCAAUGGCGAAAGCACUCUGCUGGGCCGAAACUGACACUGAGAGACGAAAGCUAGGGGAGCAAAUGGGAUUAGAUACCCCAGUAGUCA